CCUACGGGUGGCAGCAGUGAGGAAUAUUGGUCAAUGGGCGGGAGCCUGAACCAGCCAAGUCGCGUGAGGGAAGACGGUCCUACGGAUUGUAAACCUCUUUUGCCGGGGAGCAACGGGGUCCUUGCGAGGGCCCGAUGAGAGUACCCGGAGACAAAGCAUCGGCUAACUCCGUGCCAGCAGCCGCGGUAAUACGGAGGAUGCGAGCGGUAUCCGGAUUUAUUGGGUUUAAAGGGUGCGUAGGCGGGCUGUUAAGUCAGCGGUCAAAUGUCGGGGCUCAACCCCGGCCUGCCGUUGAAACUGGCGGCCUCGAGUGGGCGAGAAGUAUGCGGAAUGCGUGGUGUAGCGGUGAAAUGCAUAGAUAUCACGCAGAACUCCGAUUGCGAAGGCGACCUACUGGAACAUUACUGACGCUCAUGCACGAAAGCGUGGGGAGCAAACAGGAUUAGAUACCCGUGUAGUC
rnacentral:rRNA from 1 species